rnacentral:rRNA from 1 species
AUACGGAGGAUCCGAGCGUUAUCCGGAUUUAUUGGGUUUAAAGGGUGCGCAGGCGGCCAUUUAAGUCAGCGGUUAAAUCGUGGGGCUCAACCCCAUUCUGCCGUUGAUACUGGGUGGCUUGAUUGCGGUCGAGGUUGGCGGAAUUCGUUGUGUAGCGGUGAAAUGCAUAGAUAUCACGAAGAACUCCGAUCGCGAAGGCAGCCUUCCGGCCCGUCAACGACGCUCAUGCUCGAAGGUGCGGGUAUCAAACAGGAUUAGAUACCCUGGUAGUCCGCACAGUAAACGAUGGACACCCGCGGUUUGGUCUAUAUGGCUGAGCCGCCAAGCGAAAGCGUUAAGUGUCCCACCUGGGGAGUACGCCGGCAACGGUGAAACUCAAAUGAAUUGACGGGG